AACUGAUGCGUCAAAAAUAAUAGCAACGAAUGAGAAUUUAACAACAAUACCUGAAACUGAGAGUCAUACUGGUGAAACUUAAAUAAGUUUGAGGUUGAUUGAAUUCAAUCAAAUCAUAACAGAGAACAGUGGAUUACAAGCAGAAAACAAAAUUCUCAAAGAAUCGAAUCUAAAGUUCCAAAAUCUUAAAGAAGAAACUUACAGAGGCUUUAAAGCAAUACAAGUACAACUGGACAAAUUAUACGAUAUUUUGAAACAUAAACAAUCUUAUAUUGAGACUGUUAGUACUGCUGGUACUUCCUUAUCAACAAAGUUUGAUGAGGAAAUAGCUCAGAGGAAUAUUGAAUUUCCCAUUAAUUCUAUAAAAAACUUAGAAUUACUAGAAGAUCAACUCAUUGACACGGAUUUCGAAAAAGUUUUGGU